UUCAUUUUCAUUUUCAUUCCAUUGAUUGUUUCCAAUGUUUUUCAUCAUCGUGGAUCGAUUCUUCCAAUUAAUCGAUAUACUGGCAUAUUGCUUGUAUAGGUAAUUGAACCUUGAAAUGAAUCAGUUUCUGCUCUAUUUGAUCUAUUGAAUUGAAACAAAACAACAAUCGGUGAACAAGAAUAAAUAUGAUCCAAUAGAAUCUAUGGAAUCCAGAUCAAUCGAUUUGUUGUUGUUUUCGAUAUUAUUAUAUUGAAGAAUGUAAAACUUUUUAUUAUUGUUGUUACGCACACACACACACACACAUGAAUUUGUCAUUUGCAUUUAAAUUAUUCCAGCAAUACCAGAACAAAAAAAAAUAAUAGAAUAUUCUGUUCUGGCUAUAUUACCAUAUAUUAACAUUUUUAUUCACCGGUUUUAUACACAUUCCAUUAUGUUGCGUGUCCGUGUAUGUUUUUGUGUGUUUUCAAAAUAGAAUUUAUCCGAUCAUCAUCAUCAUCAUCAUCAAGAUGAACGAACCGCCCAACCACAACAAAAAAACAACACCCCAUACAUUUAAUCAACACCAACCACAUCGACCAUCAUUUGG